AUUCCAGCUCUAAUAGCGUAUAUUAAUGUUGUUGCAGUUAAAAAGCUCGUAGUUGGAUUUUGGAGUUUGACAAGUGGUCUGCCUAAGGUGUGUACUGCUUGUCGGCUCUUCUUUUCUGGGGGCCACGCUGCUCUUUAUUGAGGGGUGCUGGGAAUCAGAUCUUUUACUUUGAAAAAAUUAGAGUGUUCAAAGCAGGCCCACGCAUUGAAUACAUUAGCAUGGAAUAAUGGAAUAGGACUUUGGUCUUAUUUUGUUGGUUUCUAAGGCCGAGGUAAUGAUUAAUAGGGAUAGUUGGGGGCGUUUAUAUUCCAUUGUCAGAGGUGAAAUUCUUGGAUUUAUGGAAGAUAAACUACUGCGAAAGCAUUCGCCAAGGACGUUUUCAUUG
rnacentral:rRNA from 1 species